GGGGGUUAGAUAGCAGAGUUUUCUACUUCAGGGCAGGGCCUUUACAGCAUGGUGGUGGUUAGAUGGCUGUGUUAUAAUAACAAAAGGUCAGUUCCUAUGGCCACUUGGCCAGUGUGACCGCAAAUGG